UGGCGAAUUUUGCACAAUGGGCGNAAGCCUGAUGCAGCGACGCCGCGUGAGGGAUGACGGCCUUCGGGUUGUAAACCUCUUUCAGCAGGGAAGAAGCGAAAGUGACGGUACCUGCAGAAGAAGCGCCGGCUAACUACGUGCCAGGUGCCGCGGUAAUACGUAGGGCGCAAGCGUUGUCCGGAAUUAUUGGGCGUAAAGAGCUCGUAGGCGGCUUCUCACGUCGGUUGUGAAAGCCCGGGGCUUAACCCCGGGUCUGCAGUCGAUACGGGCAGGCUAGAGUUCGGUAGGGGAGAUCCGAAUUCCUGGUGUAGCGGUGAAAUCCGCAGAUAUCAGGAGGAACACCGCUGGUGAAGGCGGAUCUCUGGGCCGAUACUGACGCUGAGGAGCGAAAGCGUGGGGAGCGAACAGGAUUAGAUACCCUGGUAGUCCACGCCGUAAACGCUGGGCACUAGGUGUGGGCAACAUUCCACGUUGUCCGUGCCGCAGCUAACGCAUUAAGUGCCCCGCCUGGGGAGUACGGCCGCAAGGCUAAAACUCAUAG
rnacentral:rRNA from 1 species